rnacentral:snRNA from 1 species
AAAAUCUAGUAUAGAUUAUAAUG